UACAGAGGUCUCAAGCGUUGUUCGGAUUCAUUGGGCGUAAAGGGGGCGUAGGUGGCGCCGUAAGUCGGGGGUGAAAUUUCGGAGCUUAACUCCGAAACUGCAUUCGAUACUGCGGUGCUUGAGGACUGGAGAGGAGACUGGAAUUCAUGGUGUAGCAGUGAAAUGCGUAGAGAUCAUGAGGAAGACCAGUGGCGAAGGCGGGUCUCUGGACAGUUCCUGACACUGAGGCACGAAGGCCAGGGGAGCAAACGGG
rnacentral:rRNA from 1 species